rnacentral:rRNA from 1 species
GUUAUCCGACGUGAGCUGACCGUGAGCCUAUGGUCGGUGUUGAGCGCAUGCGCACCAGUUCACGUCGCAGUCCAUGUGUGUGUGGUGUGAGCGUAUCUAUUGAAGGUAGGAGAGGAACGCCGGGACGUCAAACGCAUACGCAAAACCACUUCCCCUAAUGGUGUGUGGCCUAGGGAGGUGGGGUAAGAGCUAGCGCGAUGAGGAGCAGAGAGGCACCCAUAGGCUCGAAGUGGGGAUGACGAGGUAGCGGCCGGUCGGUAGAAGAGAAGACGACGUCUAGCUUAGGGCGGUCCAUGCCGGCCGUACCCGAAUGAAGCUAAUCGGUGAGUAGAAAAGUCCCACAUCCAAAUCCAACCGAUGUGGAACUUAAGGCGCCCAAGUUGCGUCUUAAUAACUGUCUGGUUCGAGACUCGCGCCGCUGCCGAGGUUGACGUUGGCGUGACGAUUGGCUCGAGCGAGAGCGAGGCUCAACGUUGAUCACUUAUUUAAGGUCUAGGGCGAUCCGAUCCAUGUGGGGUUCGAGGGAGCAUACGGAGAAUGUUUUCUUCUUCUUCUUUUUACGUUUUUCGAGGGUGCAGCCACAAGCAGAACAUUGAAGAAGCCGCGUGAUCAUGGAGCCCACUCACCGAAUUGAUACUGAUUAGGUAGGAGAAAAGUCCCAGAUCUGAACCGCGUUUGAAAGGACAAGUUAGUGACCGGCACGUAAGCUCGAGACACCGGUACCUCCGCCGAGAUCACUGACACCGCUGCCCCCAGGAGUUUGGACAGGAGUCCUUCGACCGGUGGGACGAGCCGCUGCUCAUGUUCGCAAAAUUCCCACACGCGUUCCUCUAGCCCAGAGAGUGAGUACUUGAGCGGCGGUACCUCCGAAAAGAGGAGUUCUACAGCCUCCUCCUCCUCCUAGGGCUACACGUCCCAUUUCAGACCUACUGACUCCACGCCCUUAACAGGAUACUAGACCUCCUACGGUAGCUACUGAAGUACGUUUCACAACCACUGUUUCUGCUUUUCGGUCUACCGAAGUAACUCUUCUAGUUCUCGAGCGAUCCCUUCAACCCCUUCUACUUCCGAGCGGUGGUUUAGCCGUUCCUCUAAGUCCUAGACUUCUUUGUCUAGUAACUCCACCCGCUAUCCUUGCGUUCCAUGUUCCCAGCACUCUGGAAGAGGUUAUGGUUUUUACGCUGGCAACUGGGAUCUCGAGAACGACAUAAACUCGUACGUAGCUUCGAACAACCUUAGCUACUUGGGUCCCGACUCAACUAGUUCAACAAUUGACUGCUGCUACCUCAACGUAGUUGUGUUGUUGUGCACUUCUACCAGAGGUAACAACCUAGCCCUCCUUACCCGUUUUGUUGAGAACGUUUGGUUCACAUAGUUCUCGAUUUUCUCUUUAAGUUCACAUUCCGAAAGUAUAGACAUAGUGCUUUAGGUCUAUACUGCUUAUAGAACUCUUGGUAAGAGUCACUUCAGUCACCGGUUCGAAUACGAUCGUGUUUUCGUCCCUGAUAUGUUGUUGAGUAGCCGUUCUAGUGGUUACAAGAUCGUGUGUUUUCCAUAAAACAACAACAACUGCUAUAUACCCGACACCUAUGUACCCUACAAUAAUUCACACGUAAGGGGUAUUGUACAAGACCGUCAUAUUAUUAGUGGUGAUGAGCAUUUUCACUACAGCGUCUAAAUACAGCCAGUAGUACAUCACCAACAUAGAUAUUAUACUCCCGUGAACUACACCACGUAAGUUCCGUUGAUAAAGUGUCUUCUGACAAACUAAGGUUACUUCUAACGGGAGGCUUGGAAGUUUUUCAAGAACUACUUUAAAAUUUUUUUACACCACCGAAUGGAAACCACUAGUAACCGUAUAGACCAAACAACCGAUAGUGCCUUUCUUGUCUUGUAUACACCUUAGUCCACUUUCUAAGUUAACCAGCACGUGAACUUUCCUUAGGACCACAACUUCGUUACUAUUUCUAUAACAGUGAAUCGAUGAAACUAGAAGGAGGGGUAGAUUUUUGUACAGAGAACAUAAACUCAUAUAAAGGCCUUCUAAGACAAUAACUCUUCUCUCGGGAUUAUACCUCUACCCAACGACUCCCUAAGUAAGUGUUUCUACCGUCUAUGUGUUGUAUACUCAGUCCUCUCUCCACAAAAUUACUCGAGGAGUUAUCCUCAAACUAGGUUCAACGUACGUGUUUACUUAUACCAUUCCACCUCUCGACAGCUCAAGUACUGUAUUAAGAACUAAAGUAGUAUAGUUUCAGUUAGCUUCACUUGAAACAGUGAAAUUAACCACAAGGCAUAUAUUGAUCGUCCUGCGUUUCGUUUCAAGCAGCCGAGAGAGAGAGGUUCAACUACUCCUUCCUUUAAGUUAUUCUUUCUGACCGUACCAUAACAGAGUACAUGCUAGUGAGUUACACAAGCCAAUAAGGUACCUUUAGGGAGGAGACUCACUCAAACCCGUAAACGCACAAAACCUGGAACUCGAAACGUUGGUUCACCUUUUGGUGGUAGAUCGUUUAUAACCCUCCAACAAAGUCAACUCCGUAGAGUUGGAGUUUACCUGUCUUCAUUCACUUGAGGGUUUUCUUUAGUCGGUAGAUGCAACGAAUCUCUACGAUCUGUAUUCUCCGUGAGUUAAUGUUCUAAAUGGUAGUUGAUAACACUUGGAGCUUUCUAACCACCUACACGAAGUACUUUCAUCACAAUUCAAAGGUUUACCUUAACUCUUCUACGUUCGUAAUCUCUACAACCCUCUCCAGUUACAGAUAUCCGUCGGUAAAUUGAAGGGAGUUCUUGAACCUGUCGACGUCUUGGACUCCUUCGACCAGGAGUUAAAACUUCCACGAAGGUAGAGACAUGUCCUUGUACUUCUCCUUGUCACGUUAUUUAGAUAACGAAGACGAGAAGCGUUUGAUCCGUGAGUUUUGUAAGCAAGAGAUUGAUGACAAACACCCCCCGCGAAGAAUGUUGUCCCUAGAAACACGGGACAAGGCAAAUCGGAGGUCCUUAAGUAAUACUGGUUCCCGAGCGUACACCUCGUCCAAGGCCUUACCCACUCAAGGGAAGAUUUGGAGGUCGACAACGCGGAUCUUCACUUGUUUAAGUGCGUCCUUCUAGAUGCCCAGGAACCUUCGAAUGGCCUCAACGAGUAAGACCUUCACCAGCCUUACCCUUUCAUAUCGCUAUGUUCAAAGUGUCAAUCGCUAUUUCAACCCAAGGCUACGAACUCCUUCAAGAGAAACCUUAGUACAUUUACCUACAAAAAACUUCGUUCUAGGUACGGAUUCGAUCUUUUUGAGCUUUAACCUUAAACCUCCAGGCCAAUACUGUGACGAUCACCUUAAACCUCCGGGCCAAUGACCUUUAAGCCUUACCCUUUAGAGGGCACGGAGGAAUCAGAGUUUAAACGUUGUAUACCGACCCUGACCCUACUACCGUCAGAACGUCGACGUGUCCUACGAUACCUCUCUCGUCGACCAUCUGUAGGGUUGGCCGGAUGAGAGUAGAAAGUUUUUUAGACGACUAUCAUCGGAACUCGAUCUCUUCUAGUAGAUACGCUACGGUCCUUCCCUGAUUAAUAACGUGACAGUCGAGGGGUGGAUAAACUCCUCUGUUCCGCUGUAACCAUGUGUUCAAAGUAGGAGAGCAAGUCAAAUUGACGUUCGUGAUGACAAUGACAGGGAUCGUUCGUCACCUCAAACCUCGAUGUUCGUGGAUGUUCUUUACGGAGCACCCGGCCGGCCGUUGUACUCUCAACGACGACGCAAUAAGGGAAACUACUAUGUAAGACAAGGGCGUAGGAGCCGUAAAGAUCGAUCGAAUGUGUUGUCAAAAAACAACCCGUUAAGAAUGUAUACAAUGAGGAAUUAACCGAGUAGAGGGACAGAAUAAUUAAUACAACACUCGAAGAGAAUUUACUCAUGUUCUGUAAACAUGCACUAAUUUUCGUGAUAUACCUUAAGGCUGGAUGAGUGAACACGACUAAAUCAUCAUCUCAACAACAAUCGAGGAGGAGCACUCAGCCAAGAGUUUAAGUUUGUCGUAGACCUAUAUAACGUAUGAAGAGACAAGAUACUAAGUAGUUACAUGAAAUGUAAAAAACUUUAAAUUUGUUUAAUCCGGUCUCUUUAACAUGGAUUAUGCUCGUUAUUCACGGUAACGGAACGGAAUAAAUAAUAUAAGAAAACAUGACCAACAGUG